rnacentral:rRNA from 1 species
GACGAACGCUGGCGGCGUGCCUAAUACAUGCCAGUCGAGCGGACUGAUUAAGAGCUUGCUCUUAUGACGUUAGCGGCGGACGGGUGAGUAACACGUGGGCAACCUGCCCUGUAGAUCGGGAUAACACCGAGAAAUCGGUGCUAAUACCGGGUAAUAUCUGAGAUCACAUGAUCUUAGGUUAAAAGAUGGCUCCGGCUAUCACUACAGGAUGGGCCCGCGGCGCAUUAGCUAGUUGGUAAGGUAAUGGCUUACCAAGGCGACGAUGCGUAGCCGACCUGAGAGGGUGAUCGGCCACACUGGGACUGAGACACGGCCCAGACUCCUACGGGAGGCAGCAGUAGGGAAUCUUCCGCAAUGGACGAAAGUCUGACGGAGCAACGCCGCGUGAGUGAUGAAGGGUUUCGGCUCGUAAAGCUCUGUUGUUAGGGAAGAAACAGUACCGAACGAACUAGGUCGGUACCUUGACGGUACCUAACCAGAAAGCCACGGCUAACUACGUG